UAGGGAAUAUUGCACAAUGGGGGAAACCCUGAUGCAGCGACGCCGCGUGAAGGAAGAAGUAUCUCGGUAUGUAAACUUCUAUCAGCAGGGAAGACAAUGACGGUACCUGACUAAGAAGCCCCGGCUAACUACGUGCCAGCAGCCGCGGUAAUACGUAGGGGGCAAGCGUUAUCCGGAUUUACUGGGUGUAAAGGGAGCGUAGACGGAUCUGCAAGUCUGGAGUGAAAGCCCGGGGCUCAACCCCGGGACUGCUUUGGAAACUGUAGGUCUUGAGUACCGGAGGGGUAAGCGGAAUUCCUAGUGUAGCGGUGAAAUGCGUAGAUAUUAGGAGGAACACCAGUGGCGAAGGCGGCUUACUGGACGGUAACUGACGUUGAGGCUCGAAAGUGCGGGUAUCGAACAGGAUUAGAUACCC
rnacentral:rRNA from 1 species